rnacentral:misc_RNA from 1 species
UAACUCCGGUGUAAACGCGGCUUUAGAGUAUUUGGAUUAGCAGACAUCACAUUUUAAAGAACAGCCGGACUGAUAAAGAAAAAAGCUGAAAAGAGAAGAAGCAACUCAGCAAACAGGCAACAAGAAAAAGUUUGUGCGUGUGCUUUUUCUCAAAUAAACGAAAACGAGGAAUUAAAGUAAUAUAUAGCUUUACGUGUUAUGUGUAUUGCAACAUUUAGUAAGAAUAUGACAUUAAGUUGAAAUUAAGGAUGAAUUCUGUUUUAAGUGGGGAGCAGUUGGUUCAGGCUCAUUCCAAAACAAACUAUGAAUUACCAUCAGCCGGCCUUAAAGAUUUCCAACCAAACAAUUCCUGGUUGGAGCAGAAACAGAUUCAGACCGCUCUACAAGAGAGAAAAGCACUUCUGGAAGAGGAAAGGGUAGAGAAAUGGAGUUGCCUCAUGUCAGCUCAAUGGGUCCCAGAAAAACGGAAGGCCUUCGUCAAACAGAAGAACAAAUACUGGGAGGUCUACGGACAUCACAGUGCUGCUGAUGACUUGGAUUGGCUAUUCCCUGAGGAGGUUCUUUUCCUAAUGGAAAUGAACUGCUUGGAGUGCCUUUACGAAGAAAUACCUUUGUCGAUACAGAAGGGUUAUUCAGUACUACUUGGGCCAGAGAAUGGAUGCUCUCUCACUGAGUACAGAGUAUUUUCCCACUUGUGCCGUACUGGAUACCGAGUAGUUCGCCAUCUUCCAGACCUUACAGUUACUGCUUAUGAAAAGCAGAUACGACUGGACCAGCAUCUAGAGCAGAAGAAGAGCUACGAUGAAGGCAUCAGUGAAUCGGUCAUUGUGAGACCUGACUUGCCACCCAAAAAAAUUGUGGAAUUAUUAGAAAAUGCUGAAAUAACCAUAGAAUCAGGUGGUCCUGUGAAAUCUGGAGUUCAAAGCAGUACAGAGGUCAAGAAUGUUAAAUUUGAAGAAGUGAGAAAAAAAUGUAUGAAAAACAACAUUGAGAUUAUUGAUAUUGCUGAUUCAUCAUCUGAAGAGUCAUCAAGUUCUGAGUCCUCAGAAGAAGAUAGUGAUAUUGAAAUCAUAGAAGUGUUUGAACCAGAUUCAAAAACCUCUGAUGAUGAAGGAGGAGGAGAGGAAGAAGACGGGAUGGAGGAGGAAGAAGAAGAUGAUAUUGAGAUUAUAGAAUUGAAUGUUCCUGAAAAAGAGAUCAUUGUUGCUACCAUUGAGUCUUCUGACAGUGAAAAAGAAAAUGAAAGUAGUGAUUCCGGGAGUGACAAAAGUUAUGAUGGCAACUGGAAACGAAAUCAUCCUAAGACACAGAGAUUUGUCAGACCCCCCAAUAUGAACAAUUUGAAAUUUUUAACUGCAGAGGAAUUUUGUGCAGAUAAAAUCCCUAGAUUAAACAAUCCUCAGACAUGUGAUUCUUUGAUCAAUGAAAGCAACUUACAAGUAGCAAAUUCAGUUAAAGAUGGUAACAAAGAUUCAGAUUUUAUAAGCCUUCAGCCCUCUGUUGGACGAUCUUGGCAGUUGUUUCCAGUUACUAAAAGUAGAAAUGAUAUUUUAGAUUUAAUGCCCACUAUGGCAGGACAAAAUAGUAAACUUAUGACUCUUGAUAGACCAGACUUGCGACUUGUCCCUGAUAAUGUUAUACCUAAACAACAAUCAUAUACAUUUAAUACCAACGCACUUCGGGCCAGAGUAUUUUCUGCCUUUAGAGGUUUUCGGGGCCGUAGGAAUUUUCACGGUCCAAGAUUUGGUGGUUAUAAUUCAUCAUAUAUUAAUAAUAAUAUGAACAUUUUUCCAAAUCAAUUGGGUGUUGGAAAUGGAAUGUUGCAGAAUCCAUUAUUAACUCAAAUGUUUGGUUCUGAUAUAAAUUCAGUGGCCAGAGGAAUGAUGCAGUUCGCUUCAGCUUUAUUGUUGAAUGUGCCUCAAAACAAUCAGUCCAAUGGCCUGCGGCCAUAUCAUAAUCAGCCACCCUUUCAUGCUUCUGGGUUUUCUCAGUCCAAUUUCAAUUCUAGGCCUCUAUUUGAUGAACCAUCCAGAAAUUUUAUUACCCAAAAUCAUAUAAGAUUUUCUGACCCUAGAAGCUCUAUGAUGAUAAGUGAAAAUAUUGAACCUUUCCAAAAUAGAAGUUAUGGACUGGAGCGAUCCAAUAUUUCAAGGAGUUCUGGAGGAGAUAGUGACUUUGACUCUUCUGAAAGGACUUUUACACCACCUAUUAGAAGAGGUUUUAGAGGAAAUCGUGGUUAUUGUUCUAGGAGGCCUUUUAACAGUAAUAUUCGUAAUCCGAGCAGGCUAUCACCGUCUCCAAGACAUAUUAGAUUUUUAGACACUGAUUUCCCUGUUGACCCAGCUUACAUUAAGCCCGAUGUGCCUCUGACCGGAGAGCAGAGCAAUGAUUUAGGAGAUAGAGAGGGCUUCAUUCCAUUCAGAAAUUCAACAAAUCAAACUCCAUUAGAAGAAGUUAUAGAUAUUUCAAAUGAUGACACUGUUGCACCCGAAAGGAAAGAAAUAGGCAAAUGUUUUCAACAGAAACGAAAAAGAAAAUUGAAAAAGAAGAUGAGAAUGGCUAAAAAGAGACUUCAUCAGAACAGUUCUGGAAAAGAUCCUGUUAUCAUUUUCUUAGAUAGUCCCACCACUAGUGAUGUGCCUGUAAAACAAGAAAUUAAUGAAGUAUCAACUGUUAAGGUCAAGAGUGAAACAAUAGAACAAAAUGUUUCUGUAAGUGUGAAACAAGAAUCUGAAGUAACUUCUACAUUAGGAGUCAAAGCAGAAUUAAAUGAGAAUACCAGUAUAAAAACUGAAAGGAAUGCUGAUGAAAGGCAAGAAACAGGAGUGAAAAGUGAAGCAAGCAAUGAAGUAAGAGUCAAGCUAGAACAAGAUCAGUCUGGAACAAACUUGCGUGUUGAAAUAAAAAUUGAAAGUUCCAGUGAUACAUCAUCAGUUAAUAGUUUACCAAUAACUUCUCUAGUCAAAUCAGAACCCAAUGCCUCAAUUAAAUUAGAAUCAAGUUCUAUUGGAGAUGUAAGUUUAACUGAAAUAAAAGAAGAAACUUGUGUAGACCCAACAGUAGUGAAAAUAGAGAAUGUAUCAGAGCAUACAGGGAGUUCAUGUCAAAAAGAAGCUGUACGUACCUCUGAACAGAGAGAAAAUGAACAUUCCAAAGAAAAAAGAGAUAUUGAACAAUCCAUACACCAAACAGCUGAACAUUAUUCAGAGGAAAGUGAAACUGAACAAACCUUAAAACAAAAAGAAACUGAACAUCCAUUACGGGUUACGGAGUAUAUAGAGAAUGAAAAUCAUUCACAUCAAGAAGAAACUGCGUCCACCUCAGAGCAAAAGGAAGAUGAAUAUUCAAAAGAGCAAGAAGAAUUUAAACAGUCUACAAAUAAAAUCCUAGAAACUAAGGAGUUUUCAGAGCAAAUUGGAAUUGAACACUCCUUAAAACAUAAACAAAUUGAACAUUUUGAUGAUCAAAGUGAGCCUAAACAUAUGUUUGAGGAAAAAGAAACUGAAAAUUUCUUAGAGGUAAUGGAAGCUGAAAGUGUUUCAAAGGACAAAGAUAAUGAAAGCCCUUCAGAUAAAAUAACUAUAGUCUCAGAGAGAAUGGAAACUGAAAAUGUUACAGAAGUAAUGGAAACUGAAUCUGUUGUUCAAAAUUCAACAAUUACUGUUAAUUUGUUAUCAGAAGAUAGAUCUAUUUCAGUUGGAAAAACUGUGAAUCAAAUAGAAAAAUAUGAGACUGAUAUAGAAGUGUGUGUAGAUGUUCCAAGUUCAAAUAAUAUUUGUGAGGAAUUGUUGGUUAACUCUAAUACUGUUACAGUAUCCUCGAGUGAAAAUACUAGUAGUAAAAUGGAACUAGAGAUUUCAGGUAAAAUAUUUGAAAGUGACUCUUCAAGGACUAAAAAAAUUGUGAUCAGUGAUGUUGAGGAAAGUUCCAGUAGUAAUGUGGAAGAACAUGUAGGUAGCGAUUCUCGAGAUAAUGUGAAUUGUAGUGAAGUAGAGAGUGAUAUGUCUAGUACGACUAUUUCUGGUGAGAUUAAAAGGACAAUGCAAAGUGAAAGUAGAAAACUUAAGAAGAAUGUGAAAAGUUAUGGUCAAGGAUCAAGUUGGGCUGAGGUCAAGAAAAGCAAUGUUCCUUUAACAAACUUUCUUGAGAGUGAAAUGGAAGACAGUGAUGAGGAAGAAAAUGUGGAAAUUCGCCCAUUGAUAAAGCCAAAGCAUUGCAAAACAAUAGAUCUCAAAGAAACAAGUAACUUUUGAGUUUUAUCUUUGUUUAAUCGAAGGCCAUUUAUUUCAAACCAAGAGGUUGCCUCCAACAAAGUGCCCUCAGACAACAAAUCAAGCUGUUCCAUAUUUUUAUGUACAUUAAGGAAAGAGUUAGCGUUCUGUCAGCAUUGCAGAUAUUCAGUCCAUUCACACCCGCAGUACCGGACAACAUUCCUAAGUUAAAGAUUAGCUUUGACAUGUACCUGCCAACAGACUACCGCAAGGCACAGAGGAGUCUACCCCA